rnacentral:rRNA from 1 species
ACGGAGGGGGCUAGCGUUGUUCGGAAUUACUGGGCGUAAAGGGCGCGUAGGCGGCCAGCACAAGUCAGUUGUGAAAUCUCCGAGCUUAACUCGGAAAGGUUAACUGAUACUGUGCGGCUAGAGUGCGGAAGGGGCAACUGGAAUUCUUGGUGUAGCGGUGAAAUGCGUAGAUAUCGGGAGGAACAUCAGUGGCGAAGGCGGCUACCUGGCCCAAUACUGACACUCAGGUGCGACAGCGUGGGGAGCAAACAGGA